rnacentral:rRNA from 1 species
AUGAACGCUAGCGGCAGGCCUAACACAUGCAAGUCGAACGGUAACAGGGAAAAGCUUGCUUUUCCGCUGACGAGUGGCGCACGGGUGCGUAACGCGUAUACAAUCUGCCUUUUACUGGGGGAUAGCCUUUGGAAACGAAGAUUAAUACCCCAUGGCAUAUAUGGAUGGCAUCGUCCAUGUAUUAAAGCUUCGGCGGUAGAAGAUGAGUAUGCGUUCUAUUAGCUAGUAGGUGUGGUAACGGCACACCUAGGCAACGAUAGAUAGGGGCCCUGAGAGGGGGAUCCCCCACACUGGUACUGAGACACGGACCAGACUCCUACGGGAGGCAGCAGUGAGGAAUAUUGGACAAUGGGCGGAAGCCUGAUCCAGCCAUGCCGCGUGCAGGAAGACUGCCCUAUGGGUUGUAAACUGCUUUUGUACGGGAAGAAACCCUCCUACGUGUAGGGGGCUGACGGUACCGUAAGAAUCAGCACCGGCUAACUCCGUGCCAGCAGCCGCGGUAAUACGGAGGGUGCAAGCGUUAUCCGGAAUCAUUGGGUUUAAAGGGUCCGUAGGUGGAUUAAUAAGUCAGAGGUGAAAGCCUGCAGCUUAACUGUAGAAUUGCCUUUGAAACUGUUAAUCUUGAAUUAUUGUGAAGUAGUUAGAAUAUGUAGUGUAGCGGUGAAAUGCAUAGAUAUUACAUAGAAUACCGAUUGCGAAGGCAGAUUACUAACAAUAUAUUGACACUGAUGGACGAAAGCGUGGGGAGCGAACAGGAUUAGAUACCCUGGUAGUCCACGCCGUAAACGAUGGUCACUAGCUGUUCGGGAUUCGUUUGAGUGGCUAAGCGAAAGUGAUAAGUGACCCACCUGGGGAGUACGUUCGCAAGAAUGAAACUCAAAGGAAUUGACGGGGGCCCGCACAAGCGGUGGAGCAUGUGGUUUAAUUCAAUGAUACGCGAGGAACCUUACCAGGGCUUAAAUGGGAGAUGACAGGAGCAGAGACGCUCUUUUCUUCGGACAUCUUUCAAGGUGCUGCAUGGUUGUCGUCAGCUCGUGCCGUGAGGUGUCAGGUUAAGUCCUAUAACGAGCGCAACCCCUACCGUUAGUUGCCAGCAUGUAAAGAUGGGGACUCUAACGGGACUGCCGGUACAAACCGUGAGGAAGGUGGGGAUGACGUCAAAUCAUCACGGCCCUUACGUCCUGGGCUACACACGUGCUACAAUGGCCGGUACAGAGGGAAGCUACCCUGCAAAGGGAUGCGGAUCUAUAAAGCCGGUCACAGUUCGGAUCGGGGUCUGCAACUCGACCCCGUGAAGCUGGAAUCGCUAGUAAUCGGAUAUCAGCCAUGAUCCGGUGAAUACGUUCCCGGGCCUUGUACACACCGCCCGUCAAGCCAUGGAAGCCGGGGGUGCCUGAAGUCUGUAACCGCAAGGAGCGGCCUAGGGCAAGACUGGUAACUAGGGCUA